UACGUAUGGAGCAAGCGUUAUCCGGAUUUACUGGGUGUAAAGGGUGCGUAGGCGGUCUGGCAAGUCAGAUGUGAAAUACCGGGGCUCAACCCCGGAGCUGCAUUUGAAACUGCUGGACUGGAGUCCGGGAGAGGCAGGCGGAAUUCCUAGUGUAGCGGUGAAAUGCGUAGAUAUUAGGAAGAACACCAGUGGCGAAGGCGGCCUGCUGGACCGGAACUGACGCUGAGGCACGAAAGCGUGGGGAG
rnacentral:rRNA from 1 species